UACAAGAUUGCCAGCCAUUUCAGCUUAUGAAAUCAAGUGGGCUGACUAGCACUUUAAAAAAUGAAAUUGAAUAGAAACAGAAUGCAUCACAAGUAGGAUGGGUAAAUGUGAGCAAAUGUGUAUGUGUUUAUUAUUUACUCUGAAGCUAGGAUAAAAAAAUUUAUUUUGAAAGCUUGGAAGCUAGACAGAGUCCCCCAAAUACCAUUUCCCAUUGUGCAGGGCAGUCCCUGGCAAAGUAGAGAUACAGCUAAGCAGAGAAGGACUGCAGGUCAACCCAGGCCAGUCAAAGUAUCAGGUAUACAAUGAACAAUGCUAACCUCUGAAGCAGGAGACCCACCACCAACCAGAUGAGAUCAUGGAUUACAGGCAAGAGGAGCAGGUGAAUCAAGAAGACAAGACAGUAAAUGAAUCUCGGAAUUACAGUGAAGGAUUAGGGAGUGCUGAUACUCAAGGGAGGGACUGAAUCAAACAGGUAACUGGAAAGCUAUGUAGGCACCAGGCAAUCAGACAAAAGGAAGCCAGAGAACGUUACAGCCCCUUUGAAAUAAUUCGUGUAAAAAUCAUUCAUUGAUGUUAAAACCAUCGUGUGAAAUGUUACUGAGGACAAUAUAUUAACUUAGUCUAAAAGUCCAACCACAUCUAUACUUCACUAAUUCUGAAAGGGAAAAGCUACCUUCACAACAGAGAGAUCUAGUGGCCAUUUCCUUAACCAAAAGAGCUAAUGUAACAUCAUCCAUAAAGAGGUGAGCAGAACUUAUGGAGCCCCUGAUAGGAUGCACUGAGAGGAAUACAAAGCCAUCUUUGUUGGAUUCUCACCAGAAACGUUUAACUUGACCCUAGCCUUGAGGAAAUAACUGGACAAACCAAAUUUAAAGGCAUUCCAUAAUACUGGCCUGGACUUUUAGAAAACGUUUGUAUCAUAAAAGGAGAAAAGAGGCUGCAAUGGCCUCUGAUGGUCAUAAGUGUUACAGAUCAGCAAUCAAUGUGUCCACAGUGGUCUGACAUCAUCCUUGUCCCAGAAAGACUCAGUGAGAGCGUGACUCAUGAGGCUCUUCCUCAGGUUAGAAGGGAUAACAGGAAAGUGAAGAUGCUGAGCCUAUGUGCUGGGCGUUAUGUGUUGUCCCUUUUAAUACUGAAAUCACGUUUGAAGUAGAUGUCAUUGUCCUUAGUUUACCGAUGAGGAGACGGAGUUAGAUCAUUUGCCUAAGGUCAUGCAGAGCUGGCAUUAGACUCAGAUGCACCAAAUCCAAAUCCUUCUUCUCCUCUCUCUUCUUCUUUGUAAAAUCACCAUUUUCAAUCACAAAAUAUUGCAAUGAUGAAAAAAUAAAUACAAUAAUAUAACAGACACCUAUGUAGUCACCAGCCGGAUAAAUGUUAACAUUUUGUCACAGUUGUUUUAUAUUGUUUUUCAUUUAUGGCUCUUGAUUUAAACACCGUCUUCAAUUCAGGCACCUGGGGGUUUCUUUUCUCUUUUCUCCUUUUUCUCCUCCUCCUCCCUUCCUCCCUUUCUCCUCUCAGUUCAACCAUGUAAUUACCUUAGAGGAGGUGGUGAUUUUAUUGUAUCUAGCAUUUCUAUGUGUUAUAGGAGGAGGAACGUUCAUAUUAGCUCAAUCUAUCUUGUCAUCAGAGCCAGGCUUCCAGUUCUGUUCUCUUUCUGAUAAAUUACAAUAGUUGGCAACAUAAGACAUGUACCUGGAUUUUCACAGUAUGCAAAACUUAAUCACCCAGUCACCAAGGUUCAUUAGAAUCUCUUCAGGCUCCAGUUUCCAGGAGAAUCCAACAAGAAAAAUCAGGACUAGAUUCCUCUGGUCUUAGAAUUUUGAGAAUGGCUAUUAAAGAGUCAAAUUUGAAACUUCAGCUCACUGUGCUUUUUUAUUCAUAGUUUAUUAAUUUGCAACGCUGAACAAAUUAAACCAGCACCAUGGAUUUUGUGAAGAAUAACAAGUAGGAGGUUAUUAAAAACCAUACAUAAAAGGUUGUAAAUUCAUGAGCUUUCUAUCUCCCUUCAGAUUCUAUCAGAUGUUACACUAAGCUCAUGAAGUUCCAAGCAAGUAUCUCUUCUUCUGAGGUUCUCCUCUCCAAAAAGCCAGUGAUCUAGAAACCAUACAUAUGCCUUGAGUGUAUACGGGAGGUGAUAUUCUCAGCAACUUGAGAACGGAUACAGAAUCAUAUGUAUCUUUGUUUCCUCAACACCGGCAAUGGGACCAAGUACAUGUUAAGGGACAGUUGUCAUCAUCAGGGCAGUUUUAAUUGGCUCCAAUUCAGUUUUGUGGAACUGAAAUGGAAUUGGAACUGUGCCAACCCCACUGGAAUUGGACCCCAUAUUCUCUUCUGUCUCUAGAGAAGCUUUGGCCUUACCUGAAUCCCACUCUCAGGCCAAUGGAAGAUAGUGAAGUGUGAUCGCAUGAAUUCUUGGAAUCAGCAUGUCAUAAGAAACAAGAAGAAAAAUAUCAGAAAAUAGAGGAAACAGCACCCUAAGAUGUUUGGGGGGAUCUUUUCAUAGGCUUCCUGCAGGAGCACACUAAAUCCUGGUUAGUCUUGUUCCUGAGAUUUUACUUGAAUAGAUGAUCUUUUAAAUCUGUCUCUCGAACUUUUAGCUGUGCAGGGUUUAGGAUUUAAUAAAUGCAUUUCUUUUCUUUUCCUCUUCUAUACUUACAAGCUCUUCUUUCUUUCUUUUUUUUUUUUUCUGAGAUGGAGUCUUGCUCUUUGCCAAGGCUGGAGUGCAGUGGCACAAUCUCAGCCUCAGCUCACUGCAACCUCCGCCUCUUGGGUUCAAGCGAUUUUCCUGCCUCAGCCUCCUGAGUAGCUGGGAUUACAGGUGCUUGCCACCAUGCCCAGCUAAUUUUUUUGUUUUUUCAGUAGAGAUAGGGUUUCACCACGUUGGCCAGGCUGGUCUUGAACUCCUGACCUUGUGAUUCACCCGCCUCAGCCUCCCAAAGGGCUGGGAUUACUGGCGUGAGCCACCGCACCGGUCCAAGCUCUUCUUUUCUUGCACCAAAGGCUGAUGGACUCAUUCCACACAGGGGAACCAUGGUUGCCGAGGCUCUUUAGCAUAUUUUCCAAUUUGGUCAACUGAGAUGGCGGUGCCCAACCAUCACCACCACCAAAGACCUGCAGUCUGGAAAAGUGUAUGAUUUAAUAAGCAAUUGCAAGCAAGGAGAAAACCGUCUCAGUGUUUAUGACCAAAAAGGUAAACAAAGUUAGUUUAAUACUUGGUAUUCAUAUGCCAGGUACAGGGUGCCAGAAAUCUAUUGGACAGUUUCAGAUGGGAAGAGCUGUGAAAAAAAGAAAGUCUCUGGUGCGGGGAGUUACCUCUUCUUCCAAGAAGAGAACGUCUAUACACUGGGAAUCCAAAGUUAGUGGAAUCUCUCCAUUGGAAGUGUGGAAGCAGAUUCCUUUCUCUCUCCUUCUUUCUCCCCACUGUCCACUAGGUACUGGGGGAAUACAAAAAAUAAAGUCAUGGUCCUUGCCUUGAAAAAUCCUCCAAUUACUUGAAGAAAGAUGGAAGCCCACACAUACAUGUGAAAAGACAUGAGAGUAUCUGCAAAGCAAGAUGUUGAGGGUUGGGAAACGCUUUUCCUUGGAAUGUGGAAGAAGUGUCCUGGGUAUUAGGAGACCUGGGAUCUGAUUCCAGCUGGGGGCCCUUGAAAAGUUCCAAACCUCAUUGGGCUUUCAUUUUCUCAUAUGUGAAAAUGGACAAUAUAGAAAGGUUGAAAAACAAACAUCAUGAUUCAGUAAGUGUUGCCAAUGACACACUUCUUGUGCUUAGCUUUAUAUAUCUCUGUGAGGUACCUUUCUAAAAUUCAGAUAGCUACUAAAACCUAAAUUAACAUUAGGCCCAGGUACUGAAUUGCUAUGUUGAAAUAAUAUUUUCAAAUAAUAAUAAUAAUAAACUUUCAAUUAUACAACUUACACUAUAAUUUGGUCUUGUACAGAUAAUAAUUAAAAGUAUUAUUAAAAUAUUAUUUUUUCA